rnacentral:rRNA from 1 species
UACGUAGGGACCAAGCGUUGUUCGGAUUUACUGGGCGUAAAGGGCGCGUAGGCGGUGCGGUAAGUCACUUGUGAAAUCUCUGAGCUUAACUCAGAACGGCCAAGUGAUACUGCAGUACUAGAGUGCGGAAGGGGCAAUCGGAAUUCUUGGUGUAGCGGUGAAAUGCGUAGAUAUCAAGAGGAACACCUGAGGUGAAGACGGGUUGCUGGGCCGACACUGACGCUGAGGAGCGAAAGCCAGGGGAGCAAACGGG